AUCUGGUUGUUUCUAAGCAUUCUGUGCAAUGUGACUUUUUGCACAGUGGAUUUUAACACAUGAAUUGCACAAAUUACUAUCCGACCAUUGUUUUGUAUUUUCCCAAUGCAUAUUGAGUAUCUGGUGUUUAGAAUACAUUAAUUUAUAUUCUAUGAACAUUUUUCUUUAGUAGGUACCUGGUAGAUUGCACGGAUCAUGGCUGACUGCUGUUUUGUUUUUAGAGUUGAGAGCCAGUGAGGGAGAAAUGUGGACAGGGAGACAUGAAUGCCUAUGGUGGAGAGAGAGAGAGAGAGAGAGAGAGAGACCACAGCAUGGCUCUGCCUCUUGUGAAACUUCCCCUGUGCAGGUGUUCUCAUAUGGUGACUGGUGUUUUAAAAACUUUAUGACAGUCUGUCUGUCUUUCUUUUUUUCUACUUCCCAUUGCCACCUGGGUUACCAGUUGGGCUCUGUACCUAUAGGAUGAAUCACUAGUCCUGGCGGCCACAUUUCCCCUCUUUCUUUCUUUAUUAAAUUUGAUAGGACUGAGAGAGAAGGGCGAGAACUGUAUCCUGGUGUCAGCAGCUGUACUGUCAGUCAUGACCCUCCCCCAAUGCAGUGGGCUUUUCAAAAGCAUCACCUGGAGCUUCCUUACAAAGCAGACACUGUUUAUUGUCUCUCUUGACCUCUCCCUAGAGCAUGCUAGCUAAUUUGAAGCAUGUGUAUGCAGUCUUCUAUCCUCGACUGAUGUACUUACAACCCACUUGUGCCUUUGCAUGGCGUGAUGCGUCAUCUGUCUGCAUUUCAAGCUGCUGUCCCUUGUUAGGGACAUAAAGCAAGUGUUUGCUGAAGGCUGUCUUGUUGCUUCCAAUUAUGGGCAAUUAUGACCAGAGACACCAUGACACGGGUGUGUGGCUUUGCUUUUGUGUACAAGCAUGUUUUAAAAACAAUUUUGGCAAAUAUCUAAGAGCUUGAUUACGGAAUCACAUAUUGAGAUCUUUAUCUUUGUUUGAACCUACUAAACUCUCUUCUGGUGAGUAUUUUGAACCCUCCCUGGCUCGCUCUUAUUUUAAAGGUAGAAACCAUUACAAAGUAGAUGAGGCUGGGCCAAGGCAUGGCCUCCAGGCAACCCAGGCAGGUUUCAAUAAACUGUCCAGAGCCGAGGUUUAGAACUAAAUGGGGUAUUUAACAGUUGAGACUCCCUUGAGUUUACUUUAAAAAAAAAGAUGCAUACUUUGAAAUGUUAAGGUUAAAAAAGUAGUAUUGUUAUGUGGAAAACUGAGAAAUGUUAUACAUGUACAAACUAUUGUAUUCACUGUCAAAUGUAAAAUAUUAAUCCCCCAAUAAAGGAAAAAAUAGGUUAAAAAAGUAA